UACGGGGGGAGCAAGCGUUGUUCGGAUUUACUGGGCGUAAAGGGCGCGUAGGCGGUCGUGACAAGUCACUUGUGAAAUCUCCGGGCUUAACUCGGAACGGUCAAGUGAUACUGUCGGACUAGAGUACAGAAGGGGCAACUGGAAUUCUCGGGUGUAGCGGUGAAAUGCGUAGAUAUCGAGAGGAACACCUGCGGCGAAGGCGGGUUGCUGGGCUGAUACUGACGCUGAGGCGCG
rnacentral:rRNA from 1 species